rnacentral:rRNA from 1 species
AUUAACUAUUUAUUAAUAUUCAUUUUAUUAAAAUUAUUUUUGAUAUCUGAUCCUUUCGUACUAAAAUAUCAUUAUUAUUUAAAGAUAGAAACCAACCUGGCUCACACCGGUUUGAACUCAGAUCAUGUAAGAUUUUAAUGAUCGAACAGAUCAAAAUUUUAAACUUUUGCAUUUAAUUUUUAUCUUAAUCCAACAUCGAGGUCGCAUACUUUUUUUCCUAUUUGAACUAAAAAAAAAAAGUACGCUGUAAUCCCUAAGGUAAUUUUUUCUUUUAAUCAUUAUUAAUGGAUCAUUUAUUCAUAAAUUAAUGUAUAAAAUAAAAAAAAGUUAAUUUAAUUUUUCUAUCACCCCAACAAAAUAAUUUAUUCAAUUUUAAUUUUAAAAUUUAUACAUUAAUAAUAAUUAAAUAAAUUAUUAAACUCUAUAGGGUCUUCUCGUCUUUUAAAUUCAUUUUAGCUUUUUUACUAAAAAAUUAAAUUUUAUAAAUUAAAUAGAGACAGUAUAUAUUUCAUCCAAUCUUUCAUACAAGUCACCAAUUAAGAGACUAAUGAUUAUGCUACCUUUGUACAGUCAAAAUACUGCAGCCCUUUAAUAAUUUAUCAGUGGGCAGAUUAGACUUUAAAUUAUUUUCAAAAAGACAUGUUUUUGAUAAACAAGUGAAUAUAAAAUUUGCCGAAUUCCUUUAAUUAACUUCAAUUAAAUUUAUUUAUUUAUUUAAAUUUAUAUACUAAUUUUAUCAUUAUAUUUAAUUCUAUUUUAUUAAAAUAUAUUUUUUUAUAAAAAUUUAAAUUUUUUUAUUAAAUUUUAAUUAUAAUUAAAUUAUUUAUAAAAAAUUAUAAUUUAUUAAACAAUUUAAAUUUUAAAAUUUUAAUUAAUUUUAAAAUUAAUUAUAAAAAUUUAUUUUAAAGCUUAUCCCUUAAAAUAUUUAAUAUUAACACUAUUAAAAUUUUAUUAAAUAAAAAUUUUAAAUUAUAAUAUUUAAAAUUAAAUUUUUUUCUAAAAAAACUAGAUAUUUUUAAAAACGAUUAACAUUUCAUUUCCAAUUAAUUAUUAAAAAUAAUUAUACUACAUUAACUUUUAUAAUUAAUUAACUCUUUUAAAUUCGAGAAAUUUCUACUUAAAAAAUAUUAUUAAUAAACUCUGAUACACAAGAUACAAUAAAUUAAACUUACUUUUUAUUAAAUUAAUUUUCCCUAUUUCAAAAUUCUUUUACAAUACUAUUUUACUAUAAAUUUAAAAAUUUUUUCUAUAUAUAUACUUUAACCCCCAUUAAAAUAUAUUUUAAAAAUUUUUUUAUUAAUAUAAUUAAUUAUUAAUUUUUCCCCC